GUAGAGAUGGCUCAGUGGGUAAGACCACACAGAUUGCUCUUCCUCGUGGACCUGGGUUCAAUUCCCAGUACCUACA
rfam:Mus musculus chromosome 4 genomic contig, GRC reference assembly alternate locus group NOD/MrkTac.